CUUUGCAGGAUAUGGUGCAACUGUGAGGGUACAGACGGGAUAGGGGAUCCACACAUGAAACCAAAGGGGACCCACCGGGCGGGACGUGGCUCAGGAGGAAAGUGAGAGACGUGCAGGGGAACGUGGAGCCCAGAGUUUUUCAAUCUGUGGGGCUUGGCCUUUGCAGCGCUGGGUUGCUCAAUCCCCCUUUAUCUGCACGUUGCUCUUUGCCCCACCGAGAGCCGCGGAGACGACACCUGGAGAUUGGCACCGGUGGGACAACAUGAGCGAAAUACCUUCCCUGGCCACACGGAAAAUUUUCCAGAGCAAAUUUUUAGGUCAGAGCACCCACUCUGGGGCUCUGCAAAGGAAAGAAAGGAGGUAGAGCCAGAGCACACAAAGGCCCGUGGAAGGGAACAGUGACAGAGCAGAAGACAUGGUCUCUGUCCUGCAUGGCAGAGGGAGUCCAUGCUGGAGCAGUUCUGCUGGCAAGAUGUGGGCUGUCAGUCUGAGCAGGGACAGGGAGAGGUGACUUUGUAUCUUACAAAGCAGCACAUGUCCUUGUGUUCCAAUAAAAAUGGCAGAGAGGUUGCUGUCUAGUAGCUUUCCAGAAGUUCUCCAUAGUUGUCUGACAUUUCCUAGGUAAUCACAGCCUCCUGUUUUGAUGAAUUUGGUACAGAUCGUGUAUUAAUGAUCUCUUGUGUAAGCGUUCGAAAGAUUCAUCAAGGGAAGAGGAAUGCUAUCCUUCCAAGGUAUCCUGCCAAGUGUCAGAAGCUCCCAGGAACAGAACUCGAUUAUUCCUUCAGGAAAUUUCUAAAAGAGGGAAGCUAUUCCAAGGUCCUGAGGCUGCAGGACAGAUAGCUGGAACUCCAUGGGGUGUAUGGCCAGGGGCAACACAAACCAAGGAAAUCUGAGAGGGGAGUGGGCUCAAGUGGAGAAUUAGAAGAUUUUUUUCUUUAUUAAAAGCAUUAAAGAUCUGUGUUCUAGACUGUA